rnacentral:lncRNA from 1 species
AGGACCCUAUUCCACACGCAACAGAUCCCCUCCAUGGAAGGACCCUAUUCCACACGCAACAGAUCCCCUCCAUGGAAGGACCCUAUUCCACACGCAACAGAUCCCCUCCAUGGAAGGACCCUAUUCCACACGCAACAGAGCUGAUCCCCUCCAUGGAAGGACCCUAUUCCACACGCAACAGAUCCCCUCCAUGGAAGGACCCUAUUCCACACGCAACAGAUCCCCUCCAUGGAAGGACCCUAUUCCACACGCAACAGAGCUGAUCCCCUCCAUGGAAGGACCCUAUUCCACACGCAACAGAUCCCCUCCAUGGAAGGACCCUAUUCCACACGCAACAGAGCUGAUCCCCUCCAUGGAAGGACCCUAUUCCACACGCAACAGAGCUACUUCCCCUCCAUGGAAGGACCCUAUUCCACACGCAACAGAGCUGAUCCCCCUCCAUGGAAGGACCCUAUUCCACACGCAACAGAUCCCCUCCAUGGAAGGACCCUAUUCCACACGCAACAGAUCCCCUCCAUGGAAGGACCCUAUUCCACACGGAACAGAGCUGAUCCCCUCCUUGGAAGGACCCUAUUCCACACGCAACAGAUCCCCUCCAUGGAAGGACCCUAUUCCACACGCAACAGAUCCCCUCCAUGGAAGGACCCUAUUCCACACGCAACAGAUCUGAUCCCCUCCAUGGAAGGACCCUAUUCCACAUGCAACAGAGCUGAUCCCCUCCAUGGAAGGACCCUAUUCCACACGCAACAGAGCCGAGCCCCUCCAUGGAAGGACCCUAUUCCACACGCAACAGAUCCCCUCCAUGGAAGGACCCUAUUCCACACGCAACAGAUCCCCUCCAUGGAAGGACCCUAUUC